CUUUAAGGCCCCUGAAGGAACGUUUAAGACUAAGACGUUGAUAGGCUGGGUGUGUAAGUGCAGCGAUGCAUUGAGCUAACCAGUACUAAUGAUCCGUGAGGCUUAACCUUACAACACCGAAGGUGUUU
rnacentral:rRNA from 1 species